GACUAUACUCAAUGAAUGCUUUUGGUUGCAUGACCUGCAUUUCAAGCCACAUGAUCGCUAAUGAUUAGCAAGAAUGUCUCCCUUCUUCUGAAACAAGGAGGUGGCUUUGCAUUUUUGCUUUGCUCUAUUUGCAGUGGUUUAUAUUUGUUUGUUUUUUUCUUCUUCCCUGCAGCUUGCAAAAUUGGAUAUUACAAGGCUCUCUCCACGGAUGCCACCUGUGCCAAGUGCCCACCCCACAGCUACUCUGUCUGGGAAGGAGCCACCUCGUGCACCUGUGACCGAGGCUUUUUCAGAGCUGACAACGAUGCUGCCUCUAUGCCCUGCACCCGUCCACCGUCUGCUCCCCUGAACUUGAUUUCAAAUGUCAAUGAGACAUCUGUGAACUUGGAAUGGAGUAGCCCUCAGAAUACAGGUGGCCGCCAGGACAUUUCCUAUAAUGUGGUAUGCAAGAAAUGUGGAGCUGGUGACCCCAGCAAGUGCCGACCCUGUGGAAGUGGGGUCCACUACACCCCGCAGCAGAAUGGCUUGAAGACCACCAAAGUCUCCAUCACUGACCUCCUAGCUCACACCAAUUACACC
rnacentral:sRNA from 1 species